UUCAUUUAAGAAUUGAAUGCUUUUUUUUGUAAAUUUAUUGGGGUGUAAAAGCGUUGACCGAAGUACAUUUUGUAUGAAGCGCGGAAGCGCUUCAUUCUAAAAAUGUACGCACGGUCAACGCUUUUACAACCCUAUAAAGUUACAAAAAGAAGCAUUCAAUACUUAUUAUUACAUUUUUUAGCUAUGAUCAUGAAAACACGAAUUUUAUAUAUUUUAAUAUUCAAUUCACCUGUGCACUUUAUUGUUGGAGCACGUGUUAUCAUGAGUGAAAAGUUGUAUUGAGCAAUGCAACUGCUUACGGAAUAACACGUGAUGUGCAGUUAGCCAAUCAGAAUAAAAUAUUAUAAUGAAACAUACAUCUAAUGUAAUUAU
rnacentral:lncRNA from 1 species